GAGGAAAAUCCGUCGACUUCAAAUCUGAGG
rnacentral:tRNA from 1 species